AUACCAAUUGUUGCCUCGGCGGAUCAGCCCGCUCCCGGUAAAACGGGACGGCCCGCCAGAGGACCCCUAAACUCUGUUUCUAUAUGUAACUUCUGAGUAAAACCAUAAAUAAAUCAAAACUUUCAACAACGGAUCUCUUGGUUCUGGCAUCGAUGAAGAACGCAGCAAAAUGCGAUAAGUAAUGUGAAUUGCAGAAUUCAGUGAAUCAUCGAAUCUUUGAACGCACAUUGCGCCCGCCAGUAUUCUGGCGGGCAUGCCUGUUCGAGCGUCAUUUCAACCCUCAAGCCCAGCUUGGUGUUGGGACUCGCGAGUUAAAUCGCGUUCCCCAAAUUGAUUGGCGGUCACGUCGAGCUUCCAUAGCGUAGUAGUAAAACCCUCGUUACUGGUAAUCGUCGCGGCCACGCCGUUAAACCCCAACUUCUGAAUGUUGACCUCGGAUCAGGUAGGAAUACCCGCUGAACUUAAGCAUAUCAAUAAGGCGGAGGAA
rnacentral:rRNA from 1 species